GACGAACGCUGGCGGCGCGCUUAACACAUGCAAGUCGAGCGAGAACCAGGGCUUCGGCCCUGGGGACAGCGGCGAACGGGUGAGUAACACGUGGGUAAUCCACCCUCGGCGCCGGAAUAGCCCGGGGAAACCCGGAUUAAUGCCGGAUGGCCCGCCGGCCCUGCGGGGCUGGUGGAAAAGGUAGUUUCGGCCUCCGGCCGAGGACGAGCCCGCGACGGAUUAGCUUGUUGGUGGGGUAACGGCCUACCAAGGCUGCGAUCCGUAGCUGGUCUGAGAGGACGAUCAGCCACACUGGGACUGAGACACGGCCCAGACUCCUACGGGAGGCAGCAGUGGGGAAUCUUGCGCAAUGGGCGAAAGCCUGACGCAGCGACGCCGCGUGAGGGAAGAAGGCCUUCGGGUUGUAAACCUCUUUCAGGAGGGACGAAGCCACUCGGGUUAAUAGCCCAGAGGGUGACGGUACCUCCAGAAGAAGCCCCGGCUAACUACGUGCCAGCAGCCGCCGUAAAAC
rnacentral:rRNA from 1 species